ACCAGCUCUCAUCUUGACACCUUGACUAAAUGUCAACUUUGGGAAUUCUAAACUUCCAUAUGCAGUUCCUGUUCAAGAAUAUGAAAAUCAACGCUAUAGGUAAGAGAAAAUAUAAAGUCAUCAAACUAUAAACAACAGACUGCUAGUCAAUAAAAGUUAUUUUAGAUAGUGCCAGCAAGCAAUACCAAGGAAGAUUGAUGUAUAAACUGUUGUGUAAAUUACUUAACCAUGUCCCAUCACUUAAAAUGAUUCUUUUUCUUAAAGUAGCAUGGCCAAACAUUAUAAACCAAUUUAUCACAAUUUCAAAUUUCUGUAGGAAAAAAUUCCAACAAUAUUAGAAUUUUUUGAGGUCAAUGCAAGCUUUCCUUUUUAUAUUUAUGACAAAAUAAGCUGAAUAAUACAAGCUAUAAAACACAUCUCACCAGAUAAUUGACCAUUGAUGAAAAC
rnacentral:misc_RNA from 1 species